GCUCGAGUGGCGAACGGGUGAGUAACACGUGAGUAACCUGCCCUUGACUUUGGGAUAACUUCAGGAAACUGGGGCUAAUACCGGAUAGGAGCUCCUGCUGCAUGGUGGGGGUUGGAAAGUUUCGGCGGUUGGGGAUGGACUCGCGGCUUAUCAGCUUGUUGGUGGGGUAGUGGCUUACCAAGGCUUUGACGGGUAGCCGGCCUGAGAGGGUGACCGGCCACAUUGGGACUGAGAUACGGCCCAGACUCCUACGGGAGGCAGCAGUGGGGAAUAUUGCACAAUGGGCGGAAGCCUGAUGCAGCAACGCCGCGUGCGGGAUGACGGCCUUCGGGUUGUAAACCGCUUUCGCCUGUGACGAAGCGUGAGUGACGGUAAUGGGUAAAGAAGCACCGGCUAACUACGUGCCAGCAGCCGCGGUGAUACGUAGGGUGCGAGCGUUGUCCGGAUUUAUUGGGCGUAAAGGGCUCGUAGGUGGUUGAUCGCGUCGGAAGUGUAAUCUUGGGGCUUAACCCUGAGCGUGCUUUCGAUACGGGUUGACUUGAGGAAGGUAGGGGAGAAUGGAAUUCCUGGUGGAGCGGUGGAAUGCGCAGAUAUCAGGAGGAACACCAGUGGCGAAGGCGGUUCUCUGGGCCUUUCCUGACGCUGAGGAGCGAAAGCGUGGGGAGCGAACAGGCUUAGAUACCCUGGUAGUCCACGCUGUAAACGGUGGGUACUAGGUGUGGGGUCCAUUCCACGGGUUCCGUGCCGUAGCUAACGCUUUAAGUACCCCGCCUAGGGAGUACGGCCGCAAGGCUAAAACUCGAAGGAAUUGACGGGGCCCCGCACAAGCGGCGGAGCAUGCGGAUUAAUUCGAUGCAACGCGUAGAACCUUACCUGGGUUUGACAUGGAUCGGGAGUGCUCA
rnacentral:rRNA from 1 species